rnacentral:lncRNA from 1 species
UCAAGUAUGCAUAUAGCCACGCAGCAAGAGCACAUGCGUGUAUUCUUACAUAUAAAAUAUUUAAAAGAAAGAUGCGAUUUUGAUAGGUAGGUAUGUAAAAACGAUAAUGGAGUAGUAAGUGACAAUAACACAUUUUAUGUUGGAGGGUUUUGAUUCGUGAAUGCAUGCUAUUUGUUAGAAUUGUUAGGUUAUAUAUGUGAUUUCCAUAUCCAUAGUAUAAUACUAUAAUUAUUGUGUGAAAAAGAGAGAUAAUAAAAUGAGCCUUUUACGUUGUUUUUUUUUUUUUUUUUUUGUACGUGGACAUAUACGUUUUAUAAUGGUCGAAAAUGGAAAUUUUUAUUUCUUAGCAUUUUGGGUAAAUGAUAAGAAGUGAUGUUAAUAUAUAUGUCUAUGUCUAUACCAUCUUUUCUUGCUUGCAUGGAAGUUCUCCACGUGUAGUUUUUUUAUAUCAAUAAUAGUAUGAAUUAGAUUGAAAUGGAGUCCAAUUAAACGAUGGCGUCGAUACGAAAGAAGCACAAAAGAUUGGUAGUGCGACCUUUAUUUUUUUUAACGACUCAUACCAAACACUGAUCAAAGAUAUAUAGCGUCAUCCUUGAACAUGACGUUUUAUUCUUAUUUAUAGAUAGUGAAUGCAUGACGCCUGGAAAUGUUAUGGAUCAUGUUGAAAGAAUUAAAAUAUAGAGCACAAAAUGAUUUUUUUUUUUAAAUAACUGGAUUUUAUAAAUUCAAUACCAUUUAAAGGUUUAAACUGUUGGAAGGUGAUGUGCUAUAAA